rnacentral:rRNA from 1 species
UCUGGUGCCAGCAGCCGCGGUAAUUCCAGCUCCAAUAGCGUAUAUUAAAGUUGUUGCAGUUAAAAAGCUCGUAGUUGAACCUUGGGUCUGGCUGGCCGGUCCGCCUCACCGCGAGUACUGGUCCGGCUGGACCUUUCCUUCUGGGGAACCUCAUGGCCUUCACUGGCUGUGGGGGGAACCAGGACUUUUACUGUGAAAAAAUUAGAGUGUUCAAAGCAGGCCUUUGCUCGAAUACAUUAGCAUGGAAUAAUAGAAUAGGACGUGCGGUUCUAUUUUGUUGGUUUCUAGGACCGCCGUAAUGAUUAAUAGGGAUAGUCGGGGGCGUCAGUAUUCAGCUGUCAGAGGUGAAAUUCUUGGAUUUGCUGAAGACUAACUACUGCGAAAGCAUUCGCCAAGGAUGUUUUCAUUAAUCAGGGAACGAAAGUUAGGGGAUCGAA